GGCGAUCUCAAGGAGGAGGUCUACGUGCACCAACCGCCCGGCUACAUCGUCCCCGGCGAGGAGCACAAGGUGCUCCGGCUGCACAAGGCCCUGUACGGACUCCAUCAAGCACCACGGGCAUGGUACGCCAAGCUGGAUGCCUCCCUGGCAUCACUCGGGUUCGAGCGGAGCCCCCUGAAGCAUGUCGUGUUAAGGAGGACCACGGGCAAGUCGACGCUGCUCGUUGACGUCUAUGUGGACGACCUGAUCAUCACGGGCACGGACGACAACGACAUCGCCAUGUUUAAGCGACAGAUGCACAGUCUGUUUGCGAUGAGCGACCUCGGCCUCCUGAGUUACUACCUGGGUGUCGAAGUCAAGCAAGAGGCG
rnacentral:rRNA from 1 species